rnacentral:lncRNA from 1 species
UGCUAUACUCUCUGUGUACCUGUAAAUCUCAUACAUGAUCAUACAUGUUCUAUGAAAAUAACAACUCUUGUCUGAACCAAGGCUUAACCUGUGCAUGCACUAUCACUGUACUCUGUACUCUGUACUCUGUACCCCUAGCUAGAGUUUGCUCUAGGUGGGUUAACUUAUACCUGUUAAGCCUGGUGUUCACAUACAAGAAAACAUAUAUACAUAUACAGAUCAUGUACAAAACAUACAUCACUAGGUCAAGCACAUUUCGAACUGUAUACACAACUAGUACAUCUCUUUAAUAUUACAUGUCCAUUCUAAGCUAUUACAAUUCUCUUUACUCUUCCUGUACUCUGCUGAACUGUCCCUGCACACUGUACACUGAACCUGCAAAA